AUUGAACGCUGGCGGCAUGCUUUACACAUGCAAGUCGAACGGCAGCGCGGGCUUCGGCCUGGCGGCGCGUGGCGAACGGGUGAGUAAUGCAUCGGAACGUGCCCAGUAGUGGGGGAUAGCCCGGCGAAAGCCGGAUUAAUACCGCAUACGACCUGAGGGUGAAAGCGGGGGACCGAAAGGCCUCGCGCUAUUGGAGCGGCCGAUGUCGGUUUAGCUAGUUGGUGGGGUAAAGGGUUACCAAGGCGACGAUCCUUAGCUGGUCUGAGAGGACGACCAGCCACACUGGAACUGAGACACGGCCCAGACUCCUACGGGAGGCAGCAGUGGGGAAUUUUGGACAAUGGGGGCAACCCUGAUCCAGCCAUGCCGCGUGCGGGAAGAAGGCCUUCGGGUUGUAAACCGCUUUUGUUCGGGAAGAAAUCCUCUGGGCUAAUACCCCGGGGUGAUGACGGUACCGGAAGAAUAAGCACCGGCUAACUACGUG
rnacentral:rRNA from 1 species